rnacentral:rRNA from 1 species
GACGAACGCUGGCGGCGUGCUUAACACAUGCAAGUCGAACGGUAAGGCCCUUCGGGGUACACGAGUGGCGAACGGGUGAGUAACACGUGGGUGAUCUGCCCUGCACUUCGGGAUAAGCCUGGGAAACUGGGUCUAAUACCGGAUAGGACCAUGGACUUCACGGUUUGUGGUGGAAAGCUUUUGCGGUGUGGGAUGGGCCCGCGGCCUAUCAGCUUGUUGGUGGGGUAAUGGCCUACCAAGGCGACGACGGGUAGCCGGCCUGAGAGGGUGUCCGGCCACACUGGGACUGAGAUACGGCCCAGACUCCUAC